GAUGAACGCUAGCUACAGGCUUAACACAUGCAAGUCGAGGGGAAACGAUAUUGGAAGCUUGCUUCCGAUAGGCGUCGACCGGCGCACGGGUGAGUAACGCGUAUCCAACCUGCCCACCACUUGGGAAUAACCUUGCGAAAGUAAGACUAAUACCCAAUGAUAUCCCUAGAAGACAUCUGAAGGAGAUUAAAGAUUUAUCGGUGAUGGAUGGGGAUGCGUCUGAUUAGCUUGUUGGCGGGGUAACGGCCCACCAAGGCGACGAUCAGUAGGGGGUCUGAGAGGAAGGUCCCCCACAUUGGAACUGAGACACGGUCCAAACUCCUACGGGAGGCAGCAGUGAGGAAUAUUGGUCAAUGGGCGAGAGCUUGAACCAGCCAAGUAGCGUGCAGGAUGACGGCCCUAUGGGUUGUAAACUGCUUUUAUAAGGGAAUAAAGUGAGUCUCGUGAGACUUUUUGCAUGUACCUUAUGAAUAAGGACCGGCUAAUUCCGUGCCAGCCGCCGCCGUAA
rnacentral:rRNA from 1 species